rnacentral:rRNA from 1 species
UGUCUCAGUUCGGAUCGAGUCUGNAACCCGACUCCGUGAAGCUGGAUUCGCUAGUAAUCGCGCAUCAGCCAUGGCGCGGUGAAUACGUUCCCGGGCCUUGUACACACCGCCCGUCAAGCCAUGGAAGCCGGGGGUGCCUGAAGUGUGCAGCCGCAAGGAGCGCCCUAAGGUAAAACCGGUGACUGGGGCUAAGUCGUAACAAGGUAAC